AAGGGCACCACAAGAACGCGUGGAGCAUGUGGCUUAAUUUGACUCAACGCGGGAAAUCUUACCGGGUCCGGACACACUGAGGAUUGACAGAUAUACGCUGCGUUGCUGCACCUUCGGGUGUGCACGUGGCUCAAAGAUGCUAGUUCUUUCAUGAUUAUGUGAUAGGUGGUGCAUGGCCGUUCUUAGUUCGUGGAGUGAUCUGUCUGCUUAAUUGCGUAUCAAUAAUAGAGACCUAGUAUACGCGUAUUACUCAUGUGGUAGUGACCCCCUUCUCACGGAGGCGCGUGUCGCACAUAUGGUAUACGCACUGGUCUCAGAUAGCAACGAACGUGACCGUAUUCUAUUGUUGCAGUGAAUUAUACGCGCGUGCUUUUACUAGCAUGUCGUUCCCACUGCUUAGUGUGCGCUGCCAGUACUUGUUGCUGCUGCGUCACACAUUAAACUAUAGAGACCGCUGUUUCUUCUUUAAACCGAGGAAGGAUACGGCAAUAACAGGUCUGUGAUGCCCUCAGAUGUUCCGGGCUGCACACGUGCUACAAUGAUCAUUGCACUGUGCAUCUAACCCAAUGUACGCGGACGCCACGAUGCGUAUUUGUCUUCGGGCAUUUUAUGCAUUCGCUUGUGCGACUGCGCCGAACCUACUUCGAAAGUAAAAUUUUUAAGUGGGUAAUCCAUUAGAAGUAAUGACUCGCAUAGACCAUGGCACACUAUAUGUACGCGCAGGUCUACCCGGCUCGCCUUUGUGUGAGUGCAGUGCGUAGCUUGUUGUUUCGUACGUGCCACUCCGUAUUAAUUCGUACGUGGGGAUAGAUCAUUGUUUAAUUGUUGGUCUCGGUCUUAACUAGGAAUGCCUUGUACGGGUCUUUGGUUCAACAUACCACCCGGAAUACGUCCCUGCCCUUUGUACACACCGCCCGUCGCUCUUACCGAUGGAUUAUACUAUGAAUCUAUAGGACUGCCAAAGCUUUGCGGCGUGUUCGCACACCGCGCUUAGUGGAAAUAUAUAUGAAUAGUGUGAUCUAAAGGAAAGAGAAGUCGUAACAAGGCAUCGGUAGGUGAACCUGCAGAAGGAUCA
rnacentral:rRNA from 1 species